AUUGAACGCUGGCGGCAGGCCUAACACAUGCAAGUCGAGCGGAGCGGCGGACGGGUGAGUAAUGCCUAGGAAUCUGCCUGGUAGUGGGGGAUAACUUCAGGAAACGGGCGCUAAUACCGCAUCCUAUCAGCUGAGCCUAGUUGGGAUUAUCUAGUUGGUGGGGUAAAGGCCUACCAAGGCGACGAUCCGUAACUGGUCUGAGAGGAUGAUCAGUCACACUGGAACUGAGAACCGGUCCAGACUCCUACGGGAGGCAGAAGGGGGGAAUCUUGGAAAAUGGGCGAAAGCCUGAUCCAGCAAUGCCGGGGGUGUGAAGAAGUUCUUCGGAUUGUAAAGCACUUUAAGUUGGGAGGCGGUACCAACAGAAUAAGCACCGGCUAACUUCGUGCCAGCAGCCGCGGUAAUUC
rnacentral:rRNA from 1 species